rnacentral:rRNA from 1 species
GAAAUGCGAUAAGUAAUGUGAAUUGCAGAAUUCAGUGAAUCAUCGAAUCUUUGAACGCACCUUGCGCUCCUUGGUAUUCCGAGGAGCAUGCCUGUUUGAGUGUCAUUAAAUUCUCAACCUUUAUUAGCUUUUGCUGAUAAUGGCUUGGACUUGGGGGUCUUUUGCCGGCUUUUACUAGUCAGCUCCCCUUAAACGCAUUAGCUGGUCACCUCUGGUGGAACCGUCUAUUGGUGUGAUAAUUAUCUACGCCGUGGACAUCUGCCCUUGGAGUAGGUGUGCUGCUUCUAACCGUCUGUUCAUUCGGACAAUACAUAUGACAUUUUGACCUCAAAUCAGGUAGGACUACCCGCUGAACUUAA